rnacentral:lncRNA from 1 species
GAGUAGGGUCGUCCGUGGCCGGAAGAAGUCUGGAAGGGAUUCGGAGAAUAGUUGUUCAUUGUAGAAGAUCGGCUGAUAGUGAAGCCCAGAGAGCCUUUGGAGCGGCCUGGUAGAUGAGUGGAGCAGCUCAUUGUCGGAGAAGUUCGGAUGGUAUUAUGGAAGCUCGAACGGUCGAGGGGGUUCAGAGAGACGCCGCACAA